UGUAAGAAAGCAUUAAUGCAUUAAGUUUCGGCCUUAGUAAUGAGAAAUUUCUCUCUUAUAA
rnacentral:tRNA from 1 species